rnacentral:rRNA from 1 species
CCUACGGGAGGCAGCAGUGAGGAAUAUUGGUCAAUGGACGCGAGUCUGAACCAGCCAAGUAGCGUGAAGGAUGACUGCCCUAUGGGUUGUAAACUUCUUUUAUAAGGGGAUAAAACGAGGCACGUGUGCCUUUUUGCAUGUACUUUAUGAAUAAGGAUCGGCUAACUCCGUGCCAGCAGCCGCGGUAAUACGGAGGAUCCGAGCGUUAUCCGGAUUUAUUGGGUUUAAAGGGAGCGUAGAUGGGUUGUUAAGUCAGUUGUGAAAGUUUGCGGCUCAACCGUAAAAUUGCAAUUGAUACUGGCAGUCUUGAGUACAGUUGAGGUAGGCGGAAUGUGUGGUGUAGCGGUGAAAUGCUUAGAUAUCACGAAGAACCCCGAUUGCGAAGGCAGCUUACUAAACUGUGACUGACAUUGAUGCUCGAAAGUGUGGGUAGCAAACAGGAUUAGAUACCCGAGUAGUC